rnacentral:lncRNA from 1 species
AAAGUACGGAGGCCUCCGUACUUGUAAGUUGUUUUCGAUGAUGGGACGUCCAAUUCGGCGAUCGGUUCCGUUAGACAUGAUCUACACUAUUGAAACUAUCUAGAAACCAAAUUUCAUAAUUUUUUAACUUCGUUUGUCUAGUGAACGAGUAGCCUCAAAAUGAACGGCUGAAAAUAAAAAUCUCAUUAAAAACAACGAUAAAGGACUUAAAUUUCAAAUCGGAAGUGUUGUUCUUGCUCUUGAUGUUAAGUAGAAUUUUUUAUUAAAGUUUCAUGUAAUUUGGAUACUUCUACACCGUUGAACUUAAAAACGUGUCACAUCGGCCGUUAAAAUAGUCAUUUUUGAGACCCUUUGAUCUCUUGGUAAAUGAAGUCGAAAAAUUAUAAAAUUUGGUUUCUAGAUAGUUCCAAUAGUAUAGAUUAUGCCUAAUGGAGCCGAUUGUCGAAUCGGAUGUCCUAUCAUCGAAAACAACUUACAAACACGGAGGCCUCCGUACUUGCGAAAGCACGGGAGACCUACUAUAUAUAUAUAUAUAUAUAUAUAUAGAGNAGAGAGAGAGAGAGAGAGAGAGAGAGAGAGAGAGAGAGAGAGAGAGAGAGUAGGUCUUGUGUGCUAUUAGGAGCACGGAGGCCUCCAUGUUCCUAAGUCGUUUUUGAUGAUGGAGUUUUCAAAUCGACGAUCGGCUCUGUUAGACUUGAUCUAACGUAUUUGAACUAUCUAGAAAAUAAAUUUUGCGAUUUUUCGGUAUCAUUUACCUACCGAUCGAAAGGGUUCAAAAUUAAUUAUUUUUAAUGGUUGAUGUAUAGUGUUUGCAAGUCUAACGGUGUAGAAGUCUUCAAAUUAGAUGAAAUUUUGAUAGAAAAUUCUUUAUACUAUUUACAGUAAGAUCAAUAUCUCUGAUCGAAAAUUUUAAUGCUAUAUCACCACUUUUUGUGAGAUUUUUAUUUUUAGCCGUUGAUUUUGAACCCUUUCGAUCGACAGGUAAAUGAUACCUAAAAAUCGCAAAAUUUAUCUUCUACAUACUUCAAAUAUGCUAGAUCAAGUCUAGCAGAGUCGAUCGUCAAUUUGGAAGUCCCAUCAUCAAAAACGGCUCAGGAGCACGGAGGGCUCUGUGCUCCUAAUAGCACACAAAACCUACUAUAUAUAUAUAUAUAUAUAUAUAUGAGUACGUCUCUCGUGCUUUCAAAAGUACGGAGACCUCCGUACUUGUAAGUUGUUUUCGAUGAUAGGAUAUCCAAUUCGACGAUCGGCUCCAUUAGGCAUAACCUAUGCUAUUGGAACUAUCUAGAAACCAAAUUUUAUAAUUUUUCGAUAUCAUUUACCAAGUGAUCACAGGGUCUCAAAAAUGACUAUUUUAACGGCCAAUGUGGCACGUUUUUAAAUUCAACGGUGUAGAAAUAUCCAAAUUAUAUGAAACUUUAAUAGAAAAUUCUACUUAACAUUAAGAGCAAGAACAAUACCUUCGAUUUGAAAUUUGAGUUAUUUAUCACUGUUUUUUAUGAGAUUUUUAUUUUCAGCCGUUCAUUUUGAGGCUACUCGUUCACUAGGCAAACGAAGUCAAAAAAUUAUGAAAUUUGGUUUCUAGAUAGUUCCAAUAGCGUAGAUCAUGUUUAACGGAACCAAUCGUCGAAUUGGACGUUCCAUCAUUGGAAACAACUUACAAGCACGGAGGCCCCCGUAUUUUUGAAAGCAUAGGAGCCUAGCUAUAUAUAUAUAUAUAUAUAUAUAUAUAUUAUAUAUAAGUUCGGCUAUGGUGCUUGUAAAAGCACCAAGCACUUAGUACUUGUGAAUUUUUUACCGUUAGAUCUACGGCUUUGAUUCAUUUUCAUCCGUUAGAUUA